CCUACGGGUGGCAGCAGUGAGGAAUAUUGGUCAAUGGCCGUAAGGCUGAACCAGCGACGUAGCGUGAGUGAAGACUGCCCUAGGGGUUGUAAACCUCUUUUAUGCGGGGGUAAAUGUGUCCACGUGUGGAUGUUUGCAGGUACCGCAUGAAUAAGGACCGGCUAAUUCCGUGCCAGCAGCCGCGGUAAUACGGAGGGUCUGGGCGUUAUCCGGGUUUAUUGGGUUGAAAGGGUGCGUAGGCGGCCUUUUAAGUCCGCGGUGAAAGGCUGGGGCUCAACCAUAGAAUUGCGGUUGAAACGGGGAGGCUUGAGUGUGUUAGAGGCAGGCGGAAUGCCUGGUGUAGCGGUGAAAUGCUUAGAUAUCAGGAAGAACCCCGACGGCGAAGGCAGCCUGCUAAGCCAUGACUGACGCUGAGGCACGAAAGCGUGGGGAUCAAACAGGAUUAGAUACCCCAGUAGUC
rnacentral:rRNA from 1 species